ensembl:lncRNA
GGGGAAAAACAAAGAAAUUUUUUCAAGAAGAAAAAGAUGUAUAACAUUCACAUAAGAAAAAAACCCCAAUUGACCAACAAACAUAUAAAUCAACCUGUCCAGUAUCACCAAGGAAUUUUGGAAGAUGACAGAACUGUUCUACAUUAUGACUGUGACAGUGACCACCCCACUGUAUGCAGUUACCAUAACUCGCAGAACUGUACGCCAAGAGGAGUACAGUUUACUGCGUGCAGAUAAACUAGCCUGAAAGGAUGGAACCCCAAAGCCCUUUAUGAGCACUAUACAUCUUGUCCACGGCCAUGUGGCUUGUCAGCCUUCUUGCCGGAGGAAUACACAUCUCAUAUCCAGCAAAAAUGCGUCUGGUCAUGUGACUUGCUUUGGCCAACGGCAUGUGAGCAGAAGCUUUACAAGGUGUUGUGAGUCCCUAAUGUCGUCUUGCUCUUUUCCUGCUGCUAUGAGCCUAGCAUGUCCCCGAUGGGGGCAGCUUCUUCAUUCUGGGUCCUGGACUGAGAAGAUUCAUGGAGCAAUACCACAGGAACCGUCACAGCUGACCUUUGCAAUUGAAGAACAAGUAGCUGCCGCAGGAUGUGAGGCAGGCGCGGCCCACGAGGAACUGGUCACGAUCGGAUGCUUUUGAAAUUCAGCACAGUGAAAGAAAACCCGUGGAGUUAAGCCCGUAGAUUUUGAGGUCUUGGAAGCAAAGGAGAGUUCGGGUGACUACAGCAUGCAGAUGAACACUAGGUGGCAGUGGUCCUCCAUUAAAAACCCAGAGAACUCCAGCAGCUUGGCACACUGACCACCAGUACAGCCUGCACAGCCGGCAAACAUGUGGACUCCAGCCAGCCCAGUGGUUUUAUG